AUUGAACGCUGGCGGCAUGCCUUACACAUGCAAGUCGAACGGCAGCACGGGAGCAAUCCUGGUGGCGAGUGGCGAACGGGUGAGUAAAGUAUCGGAAUGUGCCCAGUCGUGGGGGAUAACGUCGCGAAAGUUACGCUAAUACAGCAUAGGAUCUAUGAGUGAAAGCCGGGGAUCGCAAGACCUCGCGCGAUUGGAGCGGCCGAUAUCAGAUUAGGUAGUUGGUGGGGUAAAGGCCCACCAAGCCGACGAUCUGUAGCUGGUCUGAGAGGACGACCAGCCACACUGGGACUGAGACACGGCCCAGACUCCUACGGGAGGCAGCAGUGGGGAAUUUUGGACAAUGGGCGAAAGCCUGAUCCAGCCAUGCCGCGUGCAGGAUGAAGGCCUUCGGGUUGUAAACUGCUUUUGUACGGAACGAAAAGGACUGCCCUAAUACGGUGGUCCCAUGACGGUACCGUAAGAAUAAGCACCGGCUAACUACGUGCCAGCAGCCGCGGUAAUAC
rnacentral:rRNA from 1 species